UCGGCGAACGCCAGCAGCUUGGCCACGCAGGGCAGGUAGAGCAGGGCAGGCACGCGGUACGUGACACCGUUGGACUCCUUCUCGAAGAGCACGGUCCGGGCCGGGAAGUGCCGGGAGCCCAUGGCAGCUGCAGCAGAAGGAUUUCAGCAAUCAGUGUAUUCCGGGAAAACCUCCAUUUAGAAGCACCACAAGAAAAGAACAUGCAUGAAUAUGUGAAAAAAGGGACAAAAAGAAACAGGAAGACCCACCCCAGAGUCCCACUAAGUCUAGAAAUAGUAUUUAAAAAAUCCUAUAAAAUCAGUACCCUGUGAACUACUAGGGUACAGCGCUGCAUUAGCCCAGACCCUGUUCACCCAGCACCGAUCACCUGGCUCGGUGCUGAUUUGCUUGUAGCGUUUCCGAAUUUUACUUUCAUUCCAUUUAAUAAAUUCCUUUAGUUAUUAAA